AUAGAAACAAAAAUAUUUGGUUUCUGUUUAGAGUUUUAUUUAGGCUCUGUUAAAAAAUAUGGCGUUGUGGUUUUCUUUCAUAUAUCUUUGCACACAAACCCAAAUCUGAUUUAUUUGAUUUGAAUAAUACAGUAUGUGUUUGAUUUCUGGUGUUGUGGUUUCAUGCAAAAUUUUUUCUUGUUCUAGGAUUUUCUUUCAUGUACCUUUGCACAUAAACCCAUAUUCCGAUUUAUUUAUUUUGAUUACUGCUUAAAUUUUAUUUUAUUUUUUAAUUUACUGUUGAAGUUAUUGAAGGAAUAUUCAUCUUGCCUUGGG
rnacentral:misc_RNA from 1 species